rnacentral:rRNA from 1 species
CAGUCGCCGCGGUAAUACAGAGGGUGCGAGCGUUAAUCGGAUUUACUGGGCGUAAAGCGUGCGUAGGCGGCUUCUUAAGUCGGAUGUGAAAUCCCUGAGCUUAACUUAGGAAUUGCAUUCGAUACUGGGAAGCUAGAGUAUGGGAGAGGAUGGUAGAAUUCCAGGUGUAGCGGUGAAAUGCGUAGAGAUCUGGAGGAAUACCGAUGGCGAAGGCAGCCAUCUGGCCUAAUACUGACGCUGGGGUACGAAAGCAUGGGGAGCAAACAGGAUUAGAUACCCGUGUAGUCCCUGUCUCUUAUAA